UACGAAGGGGGCUAGCGUUGCUCGGAAUUACUGGGCGUAAAGCGCACGUAGGCGGCUUUCUAAGUCGGGGGUGAAAUCCUGGAGCUCAACUCCAGAACUGCCUUUGAUACUGGAGAGCUUGAGUCCGGAAGAGGUGAGUGGAACUCCGAGUGUAGAGGUGAAAUUCGUAGAUAUUCGGAAGAACACCAGUGGCGAAGGCGGCUCACUGGUCCGGUACUGACGCUGAUGUGCGAAAGCGUGGGGAGCAAACAGG
rnacentral:rRNA from 1 species